AACGAACGCUGGCGGCAGGCUUAACACAUGCAAGUCGAACGCAUCGCAAGAUGAGUGGCAGACGGGUGAGUAACGCGUGGGAAUCUACCCAGUUCUACGGAACAACAGUUGGAAACGACUGCUAAUACCGUAUACGCCCUACGGGGGAAAGAUUUAUCGGAAUUGGAUGAGCCCGCGUAAGAUUAGCUAGUUGGUGGGGUAAUGGCCUACCAAGGCGACGAUCUUUAGCUGGUCUGAGAGGAUGAUCAGCCACACUGGGACUGAGACACGGCCCAGACUCCUACGGGAGGCAGCAGUGGGGAAUAUUGGACAAUGGGCGCAAGCCUGAUCCAGCCAUGCCGCGUGAGCGAUGAAGGCCUUAGGGUUGUAAAGCUCUUUCACCGAUGAAGAUAAUGACGGUAGUCGGAGAAGAAGCCCCGGCUAACUUCGUGCCAGCAGCCGCCGUAAGAC
rnacentral:rRNA from 1 species